AGAGUUUGAUCCUGGCUCAGGACGAACGCUGGCGGCGUGCUUAACACAUGCAAGUCGAACGAUGAAGCCCAGCUUGCUGGGUGGAUUAGUGGCGAACGGGUGAGUAACACGUGAGUAACCUGCCCUUGACUCUGGGAUAAGCGCUGGAAACGGCGUCUAAUACCGGAUACGACCUGCCCCGGCAUCGGGUGCGGGUGGAAAGUUUUUCGGUCAAGGAUGGACUCGCGGCCUAUCAGCUUGUUGGUGAGGUAAUGGCUCACCAAGGCGACGACGGGUAGCCGGCCUGAGAGGGUGACCGGCCACACUGGGACUGAGACACGGCCCAGACUCCUACGGGAGGCAGCAGUGGGGAAUAUUGCACAAUGGGCGAAAGCCUGAUGCAGCAACGCCGCGUGGGGGAUGACGGCCUUCGGGUUGUAAACCUCUUUUAGUAGGGAAGAAGGACUUCGGUUUGACGGUACCUGCAGAAAAAGCACCGGCUAACUACGUA
rnacentral:rRNA from 1 species